GCUAUACAGCUAGCUUAACCACCUAAAUUACCAAACCAACAUUAUCCCACUUAACAAAACCACACCACCCCAAACUAAAACAUUUUACCGCCCCAGUACGUGAGACAGAAAAGGCC
rnacentral:rRNA from 1 species